AAGGGCGGCUGUUUUGCAUUGGAUUGAGACAACGUACAACCUUAUCGAUAACAAUUGGAGGGCAAGUCUGGUGCCAGCAGCCGCGGUAAUUCCAGCUCCAAUAGCGUAUAUAACGUUGUUGCAGUUAAAAAGCUCGUAGUUGAAAUGAAGGGUAGUUGUGUAAUGAAUACAUUCGUGUAUUUUGUUAUUCUACUACCCUCCUUCUAAAUUCGAUAUAUGAGUAUUAAUUUACUUGUAUAUGGUUUUAGACUUUUACUGUGAGAAAAUUAGAGUGUUCAAAGCAGGCAUUUGCUUGAAUAUAUUAGCAUGGAAUAAUCAUGUAUGAUUUUCAUGAUGUAUUUGAUUGGUUUGGUUCAUGAGAAUAAGAUUAAAAGGGACAGUUGGGGGUAUUCAUAUUCAAUAGUCAGAGGUGAAAUUCUCGGAUUUAUGGAAGAUGAACAAGUGCGAAAGCAUUUACCAAGGAUGUUUUCAUUAAUCAAGAACGAAAGUUAGGGGAUCGAAGAGGAUUAGAUACCUCGUAAUUUAUAAA
rnacentral:rRNA from 1 species